rnacentral:rRNA from 1 species
UACGGAGGGGGCAAGCGUUAUCCGGAUUCACUGGGUUUAAAGGGUGCGUAGGUGGGCAGGUAAGUCAGUGGUGAAAUCUCUGGGCUUAACCCGGAAACUGCCGUUGAUACUAUCUGUCUUGAAUGUAGUGGUGGUGAGCGGAAUAUGUCAUGUAGCGGUGAAAUGCUUAGAUAUGACAUAGAACAUCGAUUGCGAAGGCAGCUCGCUACACUAUGAUUGACACUGAGGCACGAAAGCGUGGGGAUCAAACAGG